AUGGUUGGUGGCCCCCGUGACCCGCGCUAUCUAAACAGAGGUGGGGGCCGCGGCACGAGGGACGAGGUUAAUCGUUGCCACAAUCCCCACCGAUCUAGGGUUAGCGCGAUGCUCACGGGAAGCUCCACCACCGCCGCCAUCCACUCACUGCCAUCACCGGCCACCAUCACCAUGGCCGGCGCUGGAUCGAGCUCGUCAGCACAAGAAGGAGUCUUUCACCUGAUGAGUUGCCUAAAACAAGUUCCGACACUCAGAGGUGACAAUCACACUGCAUGGAGGAAGAAAGUUGACCUGGCAUUUGUCCUUGCUGACCUGGACUGGGUUGUGGAUGAACCACAGCCGGUCAGACCUACAGAGCCAGUAAGAGAGGCCACUGAUGAUGAUGCUGCGUGGGCUAAAAAGAGGGGGGAUUAUGCUCCUUUGGAGAUGUCAUACAUCAUAGGAAACCAAAAGUGGGUCCAUGUAAACAAAAAGUGCAUGACAUUUAUAAAGAAUACAAUUGAGAGUACCAUUGUGGGCUCCAUUGCAGAGUGCACUUCCGCAGGGGAGUUGCUUACAAAGAUAAAGAGCCAGUUCACUGGCUAUUCAAAGAUAUAUGCCACCUAG
rnacentral:rRNA from 1 species